rnacentral:rRNA from 1 species
AACGAACGCUGGCGGCAGGCCUAACACAUGCAAGUCGAGCGAACCCUUCGGGGUUAGCGGCGGACGGGUUAGUAACGCGUGGGAAUAUACCCUUUGGUACGGAAUAGCCUCGGGAAACUGAGAGUAAUACCGUAUGUGCCCUUCGGGGGAAAGAUUUAUCGCCAAAGGAUUAGCCCGCGUUGGAUUAGAUAGUUGGUGGGGUAAUGGCCUACCAAGUCUACGAUCCAUAGCUGGUCUGAGAGGAUGAUCAGCCACACUGGGACUGAGACACGGCCCAGACUCCUACGGGAGGGCAGCAGUAGGGAAGUAAUU